UUUUUUUGUUCAUGAACUGUCCAAAGAAUUCUUCCUUUUUGCUAACUUCGCGCUCUCCUGCGUUCUAUUGAGCGAAUCAUUUCUCCUGCCAUUCGUCUUCUACUUUAUUGCUCAUCGUCUCGUGAUUCUUCGAACUGAUUACCUCCGUCGUAUUGAUCAUCGACAUCUGGUUUGGCUAAGCACAAGGAAGAAGUAGGAAAAUGACCAUGCCGGAGCAUAUUUGAGGUUCUUUUGUAGCUUUUCUCUUCAUAUUGUCGUCGGUCGAGGCUUCAUCACUACUGGUUAUGGAUUAUUACGAUCUGAUCACGACUUCCUCUUCUUCGCCUGUGCAACUUCAUCAAAAGAACUUGAUCGUGGAUGAUUGCAGCUUUCAGCUUGCUUCUGUGUAGCUACCAGCUAAGCAUUAAUCCAAAAAAUGAAAAUCCAUACUUGGAAGCAUCGAUGAAACUUCCUCUGAGUUUGGAGUCUUGACGAAUCAAAUAUCUCCCCGCCAUGAAACCCACCGUCGAUUAAAUCGGCCUGGCGGCGUAGCCAUUCUAGGGCUUCAAGGGCGUCAUUGUAGGCAGCAGGGAGACGGUGUUCGGGGGCGAGGCGGUACUCCAAAGACAUGAUUAGGGCUGGAAGAUGAGCGAAAAUGCGGCAACAAGAAAUGUGAAAUGGCUGUGUGGCUGCGCUGAAGGUCUGGUGAUUGAGCCAUCUAGGUUUAGCUUGAUGUUGAGACGCUCGAAAGGAUCAAUAAUGGAGGUUGUUGAAGUUGCAAAGAGGGAUUCCGUCAUUGGAGAUGGAGAAGAAAGUGAAUGGUUUUGGUUGUGGGCUGAGAAUUAGUGCUGACACCGUGGAAACACUGGGAAGAACAAUGAACGUUUCCGUACUUUCUUAAUAGAUUCCCCCAACUCUUUUUAGAACAUAGAAUUAGGGGGUUAACUAAAACGACGAAAAAUAAUUUAACCAAAUUGAACCGAAAGAGAAAACCAAACCAAACCAAUAAUUUGUUGGUUUGGUUCGGUUUAAAAUUGAAAUGAACUUUUGUAUUGGUUGCUAUUUUGGGUUUGAAAACUAAACUGUAUGUAUAAAGUGAAAAUACCAAACCAAAUUGGGAAGGAUUGAUUAAACAAUAUUGUCUAAUUUGGUUCGGUUUGAUUAUCAAACGAAAUCAUGAACACACCUACUUACCAUGUUUAUCCCAAAUAAUUUUGAAAAUGAUCUAAAUAGUCCCUCAAAUGGGUGUUUGUCUUACCGACUUCCUAAGACGGGUGUUAAAUAUAAAUAGGGGCAAAUGAUUUGAACUCAAUAUCUCUUGAUCGUUAUAUACAAGUGUUAGUUAAGUUCUUGAUGGUACUUUCACAAACUUCAAUAGUGCACAAUCGUUGAGAAACUCCAUCUUCUGCCCUCUCUCCCUGCCUCUAACUUUAACUAAACAAUUAUGAAUAUGAAACAGAGGCUUUUUAACUUCCACUAGACACACAAAUUUUCUAAUUCCAAACUAAAAACUCUAUCUAGCAUGUCGAUUGUGCACCUUUUUUUUUUUUUGGAAUACUGAUACUCCUUAAAUUAAUUUAAAACUUUAAAGGUGAUGUGUCAAAUCAAAUCUAGCUAAUUAGACAGCAGACGAUGUUUUAAUGUUCAACAAACUAACUUGAAGACAAUUGUAACAUAGGAUUACAACAAUGAGUGGUAAUGGCUACUU